rnacentral:lncRNA from 1 species
AUUAAUAAGAGGCAACAUCCAUACCGAAAACUAAACGGAAACGAUAAGCAAAGAAAACAACCGCCUUGCUCUCCGGGCAACACCUGCCAUGUGUCAAUGCCAAAUUGUCAAUAUAAUCCCAUUUUGCUAAGCCGACAUUCUUCAGUUAUCAGCAAAAGCUAGCCAAAUUUUAUCUCAGUUCACCCUGGUUUCAACGGUCUUCGAGACGACAUAGAAGGAAAAUUUUCCGUACACGAAAAUGCCCGUGGUACAUUUUCUCGGAUAAAUCGAAGCUUCCAAGUCCCGACGUUCAGAACCUGGAAAAAGGCUGUUUUCUAUCCACAUUUGAUCCACUUUUUAAACCGGUGAGUGCGUUUCAUAUUGUCAUUAUACUUAAGCGCGUUAUGUUAUACACUGAAGUUGCCACGAACAGCAUAAACCUACCAAUGUUCGUCCAUGGUAGAACGUUUUUGGAGCCAUAUUACGUGCGCAAUUCGAGUACAUCCCAUGAACUGUUUGGCUUUUCGUUACCCGCAUUUAGUUUAUCAACAUACUAGCUAUAUUGCGCGACAUUGCUCUCACGAGGCAGUUAUGCCGAAAACGCAGGUCUAGGCCCGGCAGGGUCAACAUGUGUUAGUUGGUGUUAGGACGAUAAUUUUAUAUAUACAAUAUAAUCCCAUAUAUGACAUAUACGUUUGUCACUUACAAGUACAAUGUCCACUUCAUCAACAAAAUACCCUUCUUCAUGAUGAAACAUUUGGCCACAGGCAUAUAAACAGAGUCGCCCUAUGUAUACUACAAUGGCCAGUCAAAUUAUGCCAGUCUGUGGCAGUCUCGCAGAAUACUCUCAUCUUAUAAUCUAACUCCUUGUGGUGAGGCAUAUUUAUGUUUUGUUUUGUUUUCCCCAUGAACCACAUUUGUAAGAUUGUACUGAUAUCAUUUGCCUGAUACCGAAGAGGUAAAUAGACUUCUAAUCUCUGCCACUCAAUUUAAGAUACCAUAAGACUGUAUCGCUAGCCAGCUACAAGACAAGCCAAUUUGAAGCAUGCAUAGCAAGCAAUAUGACGCUAUACAUAAAUCUCUAUGUUAGAAUAUAUAUACAUGUACGGUACCAACUACUGUGACUAGUGUAUGUCACCUAUCUAAUAAUAUAUCUCAAUCAGGAAUAAAAUUUACAAACAACCACAUAACUUCAGCCACGACACCAUACUCCAUAGAUAUCGUAUAUAAAUACACUAGAUGUCUAUGCACGACACGCAUGUAUAGAUCGUUAUUCAAGAUAUACAGAACUGUCAGAACACCAUGCACACGCAUUAUACAUACAUUAUGCCCUCACUAUACAAUAUCUCACUAUAUGGUCUACUCUCCAAACCCGGUGAAGAACCAAGAAAUCCAUUAACCAAAUACCGCCUAUACAAAAGAUUGCACAACGCAAAAUCCUGUAUAUAUGGACUAUAAUAUAAGGUAUAAAAUUACAAACUGGCAGAAGAAAAAUUGCUAGUAAAAGAAUUUAAAGAUCGUCGGUUUCUCACUCGUUCAGGAAUGCUCAGUACAGAUUUUAAUUAACCCCACUGUAGAGGAAACAUUUCCUGCCACACUCGGUAUUUGGACGCGGCAGAGCGCAUGAAGUAUAUGCAGCUGGGUUAGACGAUUUUAUUACCGACAUUCUGCUUUCAUGGGUUUCCGCAUAUUUCUCUCUGGAAAGCUUGGAAAUGCGCGGACGAGAUUUCGAAAAUUUAAUAGUAAAUAUAUAGAAACCAUCAAAAUUUCUUGCACGUCAUGACGUCAUAUAACUGUAAAAUACAACAUAUAUAUUCUCCUGUACAAAAACCCCAGUCUCACAAAAUAUGUCAACAGCGAUCUUCGCAUUUUAUACCACAAGCGCUAUAAUAAUUGAAAUACUACAGCAUGACAUGAUCACUUGCAUUUGCAUAGCGUCAGAGGUUAUUUCCUAUUUUAUGCCAUCGCGUAUACACCCCACAUGCAAUUCGAACUAAACAUACUUCACAGUUCACUACAGUGUAUCACACACCGAGACAAAGCCAAAUUAAGGGGUAGUAGAGCACUCGCAUUCUACUACAAAUUUAUUCAUCGCGCAUUGAAACCACUAUUAUCGGGCAGCUCAUGAUUACACAGAGCAGUUUUUUGCUUUUCUCCGUCUCUCUUUUAGUCAUUCUGUUACAAACGAAGGAAGGACAUGAAGAAGAUCUCAGCAUUUGUGCCAUCUUGGUUUCCGCCUUCCAUCACCUAUCCGGAUCACUCCUACGUCCUAAUGGCUAUGAAGUCUCUACGUAUAUAUGAACUAUUUAUGACAUAAUCUACAUUUUAUUACCUGAACUAUAUAUGUAUUCUCUACUGUGCGGUGGCGUUCUGCUUUGGAUUGCGACAAAUUAAUUCUGAUCGUUUAGUUCCCUUAUUUAUGCUCAAAAGCGUAGUUUCAUAGCAAAAAAAAAAAGAAAAGAAAAAGAAAACAACGAAAAACAAUAAAACAAAUAACGCAUGCGUUAACAGAAUAGCUUUAAUUGUGGUGUCUAGCGCGAUACUGCCAUUUCUUAAUUUUGUAAAGAUAAAGCUAUGUGGGGAGCUGCUGGUGGUCUUGGCCCUACCCAGGUUUUCCUGUACUGCAGGGUUUUUUCCUGGCCUCCCUGAUUAUCCAGCUGUACCAUAAGUGUUAGUAUCUCGUGGACACUAUAUAUCUUUUGCACAGCACGCCAUCAUUACAUACUAUAAAACAUACAUCUAUACCAUACUAUAAAUACUUCAUAUUAACUAUUUAUAAUUUUUCCCGACCAACAUGCUUCUCGUGGGGGAUCUACACUUUGUUUCGAUCAAUGGCGGAAAGUGGUGUCCACACGGCCACACUUCGCCCACGGUGAAGCACACACCGGCAAAAGAGAGCAAGGUCCAUAACGGCGGGGGCCCUUACCCUCGUCCUGAUCUUCGCAUCUCUCGGUCACUUCACCACGGGGAAGCCCGGCUCGGACAUGAGAUUCAAUGUCCAUAACGGUGAGGGCCCUUGCUCUCACCCUGAUGUUGUUUCUCCAGCUUUUCUGGGGGCCCUUACCCCCAAGAAACCGCACUUUCCGUCACCCAAUUUGGCCACAAAGGGUUUGCGUGAUUUAUUAAGGAGCAAUUUAUUUUAAAAAAUAAAUUAGGAUUAAUAAGAGGCAACAUCCAUACCGAGAACUAAACGGAAACGAUAAGCAAAGAAAACAAGCGCCUUGCUCUCCGGGCAACACCUGCCAUGUGUCAAUGCCAAAUUGUCAAUAUAAUCCCAUUUUGCUAAGCCGACAUUCUUCAGUUAUCAGCAAAAGCUAGCCAAAUUUUAUCUCAGUUCACUCUGGUUUCAAAGGUCUUCGAGACAACAUAGAAGGAAAAUCCCACCCACCCAACCCUUUGAUGAAGAAGAAGCAUCCCAAUAAUCAGGAACUAUAGAACUUAAUUAAAUAUAAGAAAUCAAUUGUAAUCAUAUCUUAUUUGUUCUGUUUGAUCAACUUGUAAAUAUUUUUAUACAUUCAAGAAGAAAUAAAGAAAGCGGGACGGAAAGUGGUGUCCACACGGCCAC